CUUGUAUUGUAUUUUACAUCUUGAAACGACCUGAUGUCAGAUGAAGAAGUCUGAAGAUACCUUGGAUAUCCUGUUGCAGGAUGACCCAAACGAUCAUGCAUUCAGUAUAAACAUGUUAUUGACAUCCCAAUAUUUAGUGGGAAGCUUCCGGGUAUCUUCCACUAGUGACAGUCUACUGGCAAAUCCAGACAUGCAUUGGAAGUAUGUUGAUGUGGAGGACAAAGGGACACCUGAUCCAAGAACUGUGGCAUUUCAUUCGGAGUGACAACCUGGCAUGCAGUUGAUAUGGGACCUGAUUAUUCAGAGAAUUGCAGAUUUUAUGAAGCUGUUUUUUGACAGAAGAUUUGGUUUUCUCCAUCUGUGUUGCCACCAACCAUUAUGCUGUGAUGGUCAUAUCUAGGGGGAAGGCUUGUCAUAUGCUUCCCAAGGAAGUUCGAAGCCUCUCACUGAAGAGGAACUGUACAGGUAUUACUAGUUUUAAAGUACCUAUAUUGUGACAGUGAUUUCCAGUUUAAAACGAAUAAUAAAAUGCAUUUUAUAAGAUUACCUUUACCAAAAUUAAUCUGGCUGUGCAUCUAACGCAUUUAUUAAAUGUGUAUUACAAUUACCCCAGAUAAAAUUUUACAAGUAAUUAA